CCUACGGGCGGCAGCAGUGGGGAAUAUUGCACAAUGGGGGAAACCCUGAUGCAGCGACGCCGCGUGAGUGAAGAAGUAUUUCGGUAUGUAAAGCUCUAUCAGCAGGGAAGAAAUAGCGACCUUUGGGUCGCCAGACGGUACCUGACUAAGAAGCCCCGGCUAACUACGUGCCCGCAGCCGCGGUAAUACGUAGGGGGCAAGCGUUAUCCGGAUUUACUGGGUGUAAAGGGAGCGUAGACGGCAGCACAAGUCUGAAGUGAAAUGCCGGGGCUGAACCCCGGAACUGCUUUGGAAACUGUGCAGCUAGAGUGCAGGAGAGGUAAGUGGAAUUCCUAGUGUAGCGGUGAAAUGCGUAGAUAUUAGGAGGAACACCAGUGGCGAAGGCGGCUUACUGGACUGUAACUGACGUUGAGGCUCGAAAGCGUGGGGAGCAAACAGGAUUAGAUACCCCAGUAGUC
rnacentral:rRNA from 1 species